AUGGCGGACGACGACGCCGCCGCGAGCCUGAGCCAGCCCUCCCCCGCGAAGGGCGACAUCUCUCUAGAAAAUGGGGAUGAGAAAAGUAAGCAGUGCCAACCAUUCUUCUCCAUGUGCCAACCGCUUCAGGCUGUUAGCUAUUCAAAUUCCUGGGAUAGUGUUUGUGCUCCUGCAGCAACAGAACCUUGUCAAACUAGCGGCUUGGAUUCAGUGGAUGAUGAAUACAUGCCAAGUGCACCUUCUUUUCCUGAUAGCCAGCAGCCCCAUUCUGAGAGCAUUUCUGCUGUAGUAGAUGAAUCAAACAAGUUAUGUUCACCACCUUCACCUACGGAUAAGGAAUGUGAUGUGGAACAACUUCAGCUGGAAUCUGAGGAAUUAUUGGAUGACUCAGGUGUGCUAGAUGGGGAAAUAAGGCAGCAGUCAGAACCCCUUACCACAGAUGAACCCAGUUCUGUUGAUGAAAUCAAAAAAUGGGGGGCGGAUACUAAGCAGCACUCACCACCCCUUCAUAACACUAAGCAUUGGAGCUCAAAUCGUGCCCUUGAACCUUCUGACAAUGAAAAUAAGCCGCUCUCCUUGUUUUUUUCUCGCUUCAGACAACCCCAGUCAGUGGGAGCUGGUCUUCGGAAUAUGGGGAACACAUGCUUCUUAAAUGCAACUCUUCAGUGCAUAACUCAUACUGUCCCACUUUUUAAGAAGCUCCGCUGCACUGACCACUCUACUCCAUGCUCAUAUGAUGAAGAUGGGUUCUGUUCCUUUUGCGCCCUUAAAGAACACAUUGAAGAAUCAAUUCGAAGGUCUGGAGCUGUUUUAGUGCCAGUGAGGUUCAAAGAUAAUUUAAGCAAAUUAUCGUCAGAUUUUAGACCAGGACAGCAAGAGGAUGCACAUGAGUUCCUUCGUUGCUUGCUCGAUAAUUUGCACAAAUGCACCCUUGAUCCCAAGUCAAAGGGGAAGCUCUCAUCUUUUGAUGAGGAAAGUAUUGUCAAACAGGUGUUUGGUGGUCGGCUUAAAAGCCUGUUGACAUGCCGUGAUUGUGGUCACUGUUCGGAGACAUUUGAGCCCUUCCUGGAUCUCAGCUUGGAGAUUGAUCAGGUUGAUGACCUUGUUGCUGCUUUGGAAUCUUUUACCAAGGUGGAGCAAGUUGGUGACGAUGAGAACAAGCUCACCUGUGAAAGUUGUAAAGUUCAAGUUUGUAAGGAUAAGCGGCUUGUGCUUGAUAAAGCACCUGAUGUCAUUGCAUUUCAACUCAAGCGCUUCACCACCCUUGACAAUUCCAUUGAAAAGAUUGACAAACAUGUGGCAUACCCAUCAGAACUUGAUUUGAAGCCUUUCCACAAUAAUCCAGACAAGGAGGAACUAAUGUAUGAUCUUUAUGGCGUUGUUGAGCAUUCUGGCUUACCUAACUAUGGCCAUUAUGUGUGCACUAUUCGUUCUUCACCAAGCACCUGGCACUUGAUGAAUGACUCAAAUGUUGAUUCUAUUACUGAGACGUGUGCACUAAACCAGGAAGCAUAUAUACUCUUCUAUGUUAGGCAGGGCAUGUUUCCGUGGUUCUCAAGUUUGCUAGAGGAGGCCAGGAGUGGUGCAUCUCCUGUGUCAGUUUUGGAUAAUAUAGAUGCAGACUGUUUAACUUCCAGUAAUAGAAGUCCUGGUGAUAAGUUUGAGAUUGGUGAAACAAGUGAAUGCAAAACAUCUCUCCUUGCUGAGGAACCAACUAAGAGAUCUUCAGUUGAUGCUUCCAACAGCACAAAGAAAAAAGAAGAAACCACUCCACUCAGAGCAUCUUUCCAAGAUGAUGUGGGGAGGAGGCAUGCCCCUAGUGCUUCAGAAAUCACCAAUCUGGAGAGACCAUCAACUCCACCUCCAUGUCCCAAGCGAACGAUCUCUGUUGAUGACUUUGAGGUGUUUAAGUUUGAGGAAUUUGAUGACAAGGACACUCCUCUGAUGCCAAAGUCUGAGCAUCAACUGAAGGUGAAGAAACCGAAGGCUGCUUCUGCAUCUAAAUCUGUGAAGGGCCCUAGUGUGGACAAAAACGCAACACGGUUGAUGAGGGGCAUGCCAUCUGCACGAAGAAAAGGCCUGCUGGACUGCAUGAUCUCACAGCAGAAUGUUGCGCAGGAGCCCCGCAGGGGCUCUCGAAGUGACCCUCUGGGCAAAAAGAAGAGGAAGCUGGACACCAACUCGGUGGCAGUUCUUCAGUACUAA
rnacentral:rRNA from 1 species